UUCUGUGUGAUAAGCCCGGGGUAAGAUACGGCCUGCUUUACCCAGAGAGACUCAUUGUGACCCAUGACGGUGUUCAGUCCUCAUUCACUGACCCACAACAAGCUGAGGAAUACAUGGAACGCCUCCUCUCAUCCCCUCUACUGCCAGAUUACA